rnacentral:pre_miRNA from 2 species
GUUGAGAGGAAUGUUGUCUGGCUCGAGGUCAUUGACGAGUAUAUUCGUAUAUAUAUAUAUAUACACUGAUAUAUGUGAAGUGUUUCAGUUUUCAGGGUAAAUUAAUGGAAAUUAAUUUAUACCCUAUAUGAUUCUCGGACCAGGCUUCAUUCCCCCCAGC